rnacentral:lncRNA from 1 species
AGUUUGCUAAGAUUUGGGCCAGCGUGUCCUAUUAUCUCAGUCAACAACUGGCCUUCCACCAGGCUGUGCGCAUUCCUGGACUGGGGACUUUCACGGUUGUCAGCAUGUAGUCAGCCAGCAGAAGGUUCUGGUUGCUGUUGAGAGACCUGUGUUUCAUCUGGCAAAGGCUCUUGUGCAGGACCAUGAUCUCCAGUAUGAUGCCAUAGAUGUUCCAGGCCAUGGCCAGUGUCAGCAACUUCCAUAUGCUCAGAUAGCCUCAGAAAACGGCAUCUGUCAGGGCACAGCGCAGCUUUGCGUGGAAAGGACUGUGUGCCUUUUCAGCGCCUGUGUAGAGAAGAGGCGGAACAUUGCCUUCAUUUGGAGGGACGUUGGCAUGCUGCUGAUUGAGGGCAGACGGGUCCAAAUGAGAUUCUACAAGGACUUCCUAGGGAAGCUCAGUGGGACUGCUGACAUGUUGCAGGCUCUUCUUGCGAUGCCAGAAAUGAUCAAAUCGGUCAUCUCACGCAAUGACUGUGCAGCUUCCCACACAACUUCCGGACGUGUUACUGUCUUUCCAUUGAACAAGCAGGAGAGUGUACUUAAAAUGGCUGAAACAGCAAAGGUGGUCCUGAAACGCCGCAUGAAGACCAGCCGAGAGCUAGGCUGGGCAAGAGCUGGUGACACAGGCAGGAAAGGGGACCUUUGCGAGGCGCGCCUCCUUCAUCGAGCAGUGCUUUCUCCACAGAGAUUACUGGCAUUGACUGUAAUGCCAGAAAAAGGCCAGAAAGCUGAGGAGAAAGAGCCUUGCACCAGGCAGCUACUGGCCAUCCUGAGGAGAUCCUUGGAGGAAAAAGAAGCACAUGAGAAAGUGAUUCCUCUGGGCACUCCCAGGAUGGUGGACUUCUUUGCUGAAGCAGUGGAGGAGAAUAGAAGGAAAAAACGGUUUCAGACCAAGAAGGUGAAGAAGGGGAAGGAGGAGAAGGGGAAGAAGGUGAAGAAGGAGAAGAAGGAGAAGGAGGAGAAGGGGAAGAAGGAGAAAAAGGAGAAGAAGGAGAAGGAGGAGAAGGGGAAGAAGGAGAAAAAGGAGAAGGAGGGGAAGAAGGAGAAGGAGGAGAAGAAGGUGAAGGUGAAGGAGGAGAAGGUGGUGAAGGUGAAGGUGAAGGAGGAGAAGGUGGUGAAGGUGAAGAAGGAGGAGAAGGUGGUGAAGGUGAAGAAGGAGAAGGUGGGGAAGCAGGAGAAGAAGAAAGUUCCAAAACAUGUCCAUAAGUUCUUGGCUGCAGAGGAGAAAAAGAACAAAAUGCUGCAGAAGGAGAAAGAGAAGCAAGCCAGGCAGCAAAAGUUGGCACUAGAGAACACAAAUGCAGAGCCAGAAGAAGUGGAGAUGCCACCGGCCCAGGAACCCCCUGCCUCUGAGGAAGAAUAUUACAGCUCUCUGUCUGAGAGCGAGUCAGAGGAGUCCAGCCCUAGCCUGACAGAGAGGAUGAUGGGGGAGUCGGAAGAGGCUGAGGAAGAGCUGCCCGGUAUCUUCUGGGACAGCCCUGUUUCCCCUAAUCGGAGCCUUUCUCCAAGGACAGAUGAGGCCCUGCGAGACGUGGUGAACUGCAGUGUGGAGCAGGUGGCCCGUAAGCAACGGGGACAGAGAGAUGUGGAGAUGGAUCUGCAGGGCCGGCUCCAGAGGUAAAGCUCUCCAGAUAGGCUGAGUUUGCUCUCCCACACUGCCCUUCUCCCACCCCUUGCAGCACCAGGGGAAAAGAGGGGCUUUUCUUGGAAGUGGGUUCUUGGCACAGCCACCUCCUGCAGUCACAGCAGGCACCAAGCUUGGGAGCCGCAGCAGGAGAGCCGUCUCCCUGUGCUCACACCUCCUCCACUGUGUGCCUACAGUGAACUUGCAGUGCUGCGCUGGGGCGGGCCAACCGUAGAAGCGCACAGCAUCCUUGAUCUGCUAGGAGCUGGACUCAGACCUGCACCCCCUGCUGGGCCAAGGCCGGGCAAGGCAGCACGGGUAGGUGUAUGGGCUCCCGUAAGCACCAUGUCAUAGCUAGUUGUAGCAAGCCAUGAGGAGACCCUCUUGGGCCCAGGGGGGCCACAGUCCUUGUGGUAUGAAGAGCAGUUGGCUGUGGAGCUGGAGACCUGCACACAGGCACCCCUUCCAGCCAGAAGGCGCUGCGGAUAAAGUUUCACAGUGGGACUCUGGCAGCUGCAAACAGGAGGGUCUGAGGUGUCAUCCACUGUCUGGUGGCUCUCCAUUCUCCACCUGGAGUCCCUCCUUCUCCUCCCAGAAUACAGACCUCUAAACACCUCACCCUCACAGCCUGUAUCUGCUCAGGCUGAAGUCUCAGCCUUUGCCUGACUCGGUACCUGGUCAAUUAGCCCCUCUGCAGGCUACCCCAGAUUGGGACUGGCCACAAGGGCUGCAAUUACAUUACAGAGACCAUGAGCCUGCUCUCUCUCUAGACACAUACAAGCAGAGCCACUCUCUUAUACUGCUAAGAGACUUGAGUGUUGCACAGCAUGUCUCUGCAUUCACGAAACUACAGAGCUUUACAUUGAACUCCUUAGGACCGGAGAGCAGCGCCCAUGUACAUCGACAAGGACCAUGAGAGACCUGCCAGCAUUGAGAUUCCUGAGCAAGACAUCCAGCAAGUGUCACCCAGCAGCUCAAUGAGGGCCACUGCUUACCUUUGGUGAUGUUAAUGGUGGCACUACUAAAGGCAUGUCGCCACUGUCAAUGUCACCAUUUCCCUAUGUCCAAUAAAGCCCCAUCUCCCAAGCA